GACGUAGGGCGCGAGCGUUGUCCGGAUUUAUUGGGCGUAAAGAGCUCGUAGGCGGCUUGUCGCGUCGACCGUGAAAACUUGGGGCUCAACCCCAAGCCUGCGGUCGAUACGGGCAGGCUCGAAUUCGGUAGGGGAGACUGGAAUUCCUGGUGUAGCGGUGAAAUGCGCAGAUAUCAGGAGGAACACCGGUGGCGAAGGCGGAUCUCUGGGCCAUUACUGACGCUGAGGAGCGAAAGCGUGGGGAGCGAACAGG
rnacentral:rRNA from 1 species